UAUAGAAGUUUUGGUAUGUGCUCAGGAUGAACGCUGGCGGCGUGCCUAACACAUGCAAGUCGAGCGAUCUCUUCGGAGAGAGCGGCGGACGGGUGAGUAACGCGUGGGUAACCUGCCCUGUACACACGGAUAACAUACCGAAAGGUAUACUAAUACGGGAUAACAUAUGAAAGUCGCAUGGCUUUUGUAUCAAAGCUCCGGCGGUACAGGAUGGACCCGCGUCUGAUUAGCUAGUUGGUAAGGUAAUGGCUUACCAAGGCAACGAUCAGUAGCCGACCUGAGAGGGUGAUCGGCCACACUGGAACUGAGACACGGUCCAGACUCCUACGGGAGGCAGCAGUGGGGAAUAUUGCACAAUGGGCGAAAGCCUGAUGCAGCAACGCCGCGUGAGCGAUGAAGGCCUUCGGGUCGUAAAGCUCUGUCCUCAAGGAAGAUAAUGACGGUACUUGAGGAGGAAGCCCCGGCUAACUACGUGCCAGCAGCCGCGGUAAUACGUAGGGGGCUAGCGUUAUCCGGAAUUACUGGGCGUAAAGGGUGCGUAGGUGGUUUUUUAAGUCAGAAGUGAAAGGCUACGGCUCAACCGUAGUAAGCUUUUGAAACUAGAGAACUUGAGUGCAGGAGAGGAGAGUAGAAUUCCUAGUGUAGCGGUGAAAUGCGUAGAUAUUAGGAGGAAUACCAGUAGCGAAGGCGGCUCUCUGGACUGUAACUGACACUGAGGCACGAAAGCGUGGGGAGCAAACAGGAUUAGAUACCCUGGUAGUCCACGCCGUAAACGAAGAGUACUAGGUGUCGGGGGUUACCCCCCUCGGUGCCGCAGCUAACGCAUUAAGACUCCGCUUUAAGGGGU
rnacentral:rRNA from 1 species